rnacentral:rRNA from 1 species
UGCGUAGGCGGGCUAAUAAGUCAGUGGUGAAAUCUUUCGGCUCAACCGAGAAACUGCCAUUGAUACUGUUAGUCUUGAGUUCGGUUGAGGUAGGCGGAAUGUGUAAUGUAGCGGUGAAAUGCUUAGAUAUUACACAGAACACCAAUUGCGUAGGCAGCUUACUAGACCGACACUGACGCUGAGGCACGAAAGCGUGGGGAGCGAACAGGAUUAGAUACCCGAGUAGUCC